rnacentral:rRNA from 1 species
UUUGAAAAUCUGGCUCUUUCAGAGUCCGAGUUGUAAUUUGCAGAGGGCGCUUUGGCUUUGGCAGCGGUCCAAGUUCCUUGGAACAGGACGUCACAGAGGGUGAGAAUCCCGUACGUGGUCGCUAGCUAUUGCCGUGUAAAGCCCCUUCGACGAGUCGAGUUGUUUGGGAAUGCAGCUCUAAAUGGGAGGUAAAUUUCUUCUAAAGCUAAAUAUUGGCCAGAGACCGAUAGCGCACAAGUAGAGUGAUCGAAAGAUGAAAAGCACUUUGGAAAGAGAGUCAAACAGCACGUGAAAUUGUUGAAAGGGAAGCGCUUGCAGCCAGACUUGCUUGCAGUUGCUCAUCCGGGCUUUUGCCCGGUGCACUCUUCUGCAGGCAGGCCAGCAUCAGUUUGGGCGGUGGGAUAAAGGUCUCUGUCACGUACCAUCCUUCGGGAUGGCCAUAUAGGGGAGACGUCAUACCACCAGCCUGGACUGAGGUCCGCGCAUCUGCUAGGAUGCUGGCGUAAUGGCUGUAAAGCGGCCCGUCUUGAAACACGGACCAAGGAGUCUAACAUCUAUGCGAGUGUUUGGGUGUCAAGCCCGAGCGCGUAAUGAAAGUGAACGGAGGUGGGAACCCGCAAGGGUGCACCAUCGACCGAUCCUGAAGUUUACGGAAGGAUUUGAGUAAGAGCAUGGCUGUUGGGACCCGAAAGAUGGUGAACUAUGCUU